rnacentral:rRNA from 1 species
AGCGAACGCUGGCGGCAGGCUUAACACAUGCAAGUCGAACGGAUCCUUCGGGAUUAGUGGCGGACGGGUGAGUAACACGUGGGAACGUGCCUUUUUGGUUCGGAACAACACAGGGAAACUUGUGCUAAUACCGGAUGUGCCCUUGGGGAAAGAUUAUCGCCAUUAGAGCGGCCCGCGUCUGAUUAGCUAGUUGGUGAGGUAAAGGCUCACCAAGGCUACGAUCAGUAGCUGGCUGAGAGGAUGAUCAGCCACACUGGACUGAGACACGGCCCAGACUCCUACGGGAGGCAGCAGUGGGGAAUCUUGCGCAAUGGGGGAAACCCUGACGCAGCCAUGCCG